UUCUGCAACAUACUUUCAAUGUUACAUCACAGAAGUGGUAUCAGAAAAUGGUUUAUCGUAAAUUGCAACCCAGAUUGCCAUCUAUCCACUACACCUCCAGGAAUCUGAACUCUGGAGUAAUUUAGAGAUGUAGCAAGAGACAAAGCCAUUGGAAAUGGACAUCAAGCUGGGGAAAACUUUUCUGAGACUAGAAGCUUUUUCCAGGAAAAUCAAUUAAGAAGAAACGUCAAGAUCAAUUGCUGGACAGAAUGCUGCAGUGUCUCCUCAGGACCACAGGAUCGUACAAGCACACCAGACUGCUCUGCUACUCCCUCCGCUGCCUUCGCACAAAAUUCCUAAUCGUCUUCAAGGUCUUGGUGCUUAUCUGGGCCUGCAAACUCUAAAACACCCUAAUGCUCCAGAUGAAGACCGGUUGCUGGAUACUCUUCUCCAGCAUAAGGGAACCUUUACAAUAAGGGUAAAGACUGGUGCAGGAAGCCCAAUCUGAGACUGGAGUGAAUUCCUUCAGGACCGAGGACUAUCACAAACCUCAGCGCCUUCUGCUCCAACUGCAAGAGCUUGCUGCUCUACCACAAAUGCAUGGCAAAGGGUAUAUUUUACUUAUAAAAUCCCAAACACAACAAACUGACAAACCCCCUUCCUACCUAAACAAGACAUGCUACUGUACAUACUGCACCUGACAAGAUGAUACAUUUCAUGUGACAGAUGUGUUAUGUUGCAUCAUACAUUACUGGAAGGCACUCAGAUGCUAUGGUGAUGAGUGAAGUAUAAGAACCCAGAUAGUACCAAAGAGAAUAGUAAAAUUUGGUCUUGUUUUGCUAGAAGGUUCAUUGGCAUUCUCACAGAUGUAGUUGAAAGGAUUUUAAGGAGGUGGAAUAAAAAUCACUUCCCCUCAAUUAAUUAGGGUUUAACUGCAAGGUUUCUGGUUGAAGCCUUGGUCCUACCCAUUCUCUAAACAUUUAUAGCAGUGUUUCUUAAACUGUGUUCUGUGGUACACUGGUGUGCCACGAGGCGGUUGGAGGUGUGUCACGGAAAACAAUAGCUUUAAAGGGGCAAGCAACUUUUUUUUUUGGC